CAUAAAUGAUACAGGUGAACAGCCUGAGGUGGAGGCACAUGGGGCAAGGUUCAGAGGUGCCCUGGGCACAGGAACUCCUGUCCCAGUGGGGCUGGGGUGUGCCCCCUGCCGCAUGCACAUGGAUGUGUUCCCAGAAGCUCAUCAGACCUGCUCUUCAUGGGUUUCUGUGCAGCUCAUCUCCAACUCCCUUCUCCUUCCUGGACAUCAGAGGGCAGGACUGAAAUGGCACUGGGUCUUUCUGGUGACCCCAAGCCACUGAAUUCACAUUAACUCAGGUGUACCCAAAAGGGGCUGCUUAUAAACAGCAAGAUAUUCCUGUCACUCAGGAAAUUCCAAAGGUUUUUAGGAGCUCUGCCAGGAAUAAGGGAGAAAGACCAAAUAUUUUUCUUUUUUGCCACAGAUGGCAGGUUCAGUGUCCUGUGUGCCAUCUCAGCCCCACCCCUCCAUGGCUGAGCAGUGGAGUGCCUGGCCCUGCCUAAGACCCUGGCUCUGGAGUUUAGUCUGUGAGUCUGCUCCUGCUUGACACGCCCCUAUCUAAGGCAGCGGAUUCACUGGCUCCUCAAGGCUGAAGGCAACCGGGAACCAGUACCCAUCUCUAAUCUUGCAAAGGAAUUCAGUGAGAAAUGGAAUAAAAAAAUCACCAAGCACAUUUCCUCCAUAUGCUUUGUGAAACCAUAGAGAAUGCUCAUAUUGCACACCCCAGUGGGACACCCAUCAGCGAUGCUUUCAACCACUAGUGAUAAGCCAGGCAUGGUGGCACACACCUGUAAUCUCAGCCCUCGGGAGGCUGAGGCAGGAGGAUUACUAUGAGUUCAAGGCCAGCCUGAGCUACACAGUGAGUUCAGGGCCAGCCUGAACUACAAAGUGAAACUCUGUCUCAAAAAACCAAAAAAAACAACAAACAAACAAACAAAAAAAC
ensembl:lncRNA